rnacentral:rRNA from 2 species
AGCGGCAGACGGGUGAGUAACGCGUGGGAAUCUACCUUAAGCUACGGGAUAACAGAGAGAAAUUUCUGCUAAUACCGUAUGUGGCCUAUGGGCGAAAGAUUUAUCGGCUUAAGAUGAGCCCGCGUUGGAUUAGCUAGUUGGUGGGGUAAAGGCCUACCAAGGCGACGAUCCAUAGCUGGUCUGAGAGGAUGAUCAGCCACACUGGGACUGAGACACGGCCCAGACUCCUACGGGAGGCAGCAGUGGGGAAUAUUGGACAAUGGGCGGAAGCCUGAUCCAGCCAUGCCGCGUGAGUGAAGAAGGCCUUAGGGUUGUAAAGCUCUUUCACCGGUGAAGAUAAUGACGGUAACCGGAGAAGAAGCCCCGGCUAACUUCGUGCCAGCAGCCGCGGUAAUACGAAGGGGGCUAGCGUUGUUCGGAUUUACUGGGCGUAAAGCGCGCGUAGGCGGAUAGAUAAGUCAGAGGUGAAAUCCCGGGGCUCAACCCCGGAAUUGCCUUUGAUACUGUUUAUCUUGAGUGCAGAAGAGGUAAGUGGAAUUCCGAGUGNAGAGGUGAAAUUCGUAGAUAUUCNGAGGAACACCAGUGGCGAA